GAUGGUUCAGACAAAAACAAGUGCUAGCGCUAAGAAAAGACUAAAAAAACAAGAGAUUCAAGGUACAGGUGUAAUAAAAGGGAAAGGAUACUAGACAUUGGUAUUCAGUGUGAUCGAUGGAGAAGAGUUAAAGAAGCUACUGGGAUUGAAAAGGACGAGAAAAUGAUGGAAAUAUUGAUCGAUGCAACUACAGUCUACUUCUGAACUAGAGAGCUUCAACAAUCAUCUUUUGAUGUAUGCUCCAAAGCGAAAUGCUUUCAGCUAUGCUGUUUAUAGAUGCAGGUGUCAGUUAGCAGCAAUAUAUUAUUCAAAACACUUGAAUCGUCCUGUUUUGUUGGACCAAGAAGGAAAUUAGAGGGGAAAGAGUGCACUCAAAAGCUGCUGGUAAUUGGAGCACAAGACCUAUGAAAAAACCCAAGGAGUAUACAUACAUAACCAGUUUGAUCACUGAAGUUACAAAUGAAUUCACCAUAGGCAAGAAAAGAAUAAGUGGCAAAUGUGAACAGCUGUCUGAAGACCCCAAAAGAAUUAGGUCAACUAUAGCCCCUGUCACCCGUCCACCUACAUCGAUACUUAGUGAUCAGCAUGUCUCUAGAUUGAGAAAAGCGAAAAAAAUGAAUUGUUGCCCAAGACGUGUUUGAUAUUCAUUUGAAAUUGAGGCAGAAGUUAGAUAACUAUUAAGUUUCACAUCUUUAGUGUUAAUAUAAUUUUAGAAGUGUUUUGAAAAUGUACAAUCUUACAUUAUGUUGUAAAUAAUGAAUGCUCUUGGUUGUACACUGCAAUGACAUUUUUCAGGAAGUUUUAAUAUUGAAUUUAGCAUAAUUUAUUUUUUUUUAAAUAUAUUUUGUGCGAUUUUUAUCAAUACAUUUUUACACAUAUAAAGAACACAAUUUUUCUUACAAAAAGUUUCUUUUUUUGUUUGAUUAUCGAUACGUGUUUUUUAUUGUCUUCUUUAUAGCCUGUAUUUAAUAAACCAUUGUAGUCAAUGUCUCUAAGCCUCUUAUAAUUGACCUUGAGAGUAGUUUCUUCUUUAAUUAUCGAUACUAUGAAUGUGAUAGUGUAUCCAGAUAUGCCUCAGCAGUGCUCCAGCUAGAAUUUGAAAAGGGCAGGGUGGCUUUUUUGUCAAAAGGGCACUUUCGACGCGCAGUAUUUUGUGAAAAGGGCACUUUCGACGCGCAGUAUUUUGUGAAAAGGGCACGUUCGAGCGCGCGAGUGUUUCUGGAAUGCUUUCUAUUGCAUGUUAAUUUAUAUGUUAUAAAUAAUUGUAUUAUUCCCAUUAUUAUUAAACCAUUCAAAUAUAAUGUCUACAAUGAGGA